AUGUGCUUGCAAGGGCCAUUACAUUUGGCAACUGGACCAUGGGACCAUGGCUUGUUUUGGUUUUUGUCUAACGAGCUUGUGUCGAAUCACACUGUUGUGGCUCAUUGCGCAAGUGACAACUUUUCCUCUAAUUUUUGGGCCAUUGUGCAAGGGAUAGCUUUCUUAUCCCUGUAUAUACCUUCCACUAAAAAUAUAUCUGCCUUCCGUUUUGUGAAAUCGCAUUUGCAUGAACUGAAGGUGUCCCUGUAUAAGAAUCGAAGAAGAAAGCUGGCUUGUUACUUGGUUUAUGUUGGGAAUUAG
rnacentral:rRNA from 1 species